UGAUCUCGAACUCCUGACCUCAGGUGAUCCGCCCACCUUGGCCUCCCAAAGUGCUGGGAUUACAGGCCUGAACAACCGUGUCCGGCCAAAGCUUCCUGCUUCCAUUCUUUGCUUCCUGCCCACACUGCCUCCAUCUCUCCGUCCGCCCCUCCUCUCCAGUUACCACAUCGCCGUCUUUCCUCAUCCUGUCCCUGUGUCAGCGGGAAGGUCUGAUGCAGCCCCUGGUCCCUUUAACCACUGUGCUAUUUGCAGUCCCAAGCCACUCUUCUCUCUGACCUCUGUCUGGUUCACUUUUGCACUAUUUCCUGCGCCUCAUUCCCAAACACAAGUCUGUGUCUGGCAGGCAGCCUGAAAAUUUAACACGGGCUGGCACCCAGCAAAGGCAAAUGCCGAGACGCCCUGCCCAGAGCUUCUCACUCAUUAUUUCCAAUUAGAAAAUGUCACUAGGGAAGAAAACAAAUACCCUCAAAGAUAACUCAGUGGGGACUGUGUGUUUGUUGCCUGGAAUAGAUGCCAAAUAAAUAUUUUAUCAAAGGAAUUUACAUAGUAAAAACUAUUUGAGUUGAAAAUUAUCCAGGAAUACUUUCAAAAUGAACAUGGUGGAUUUUUUUGUUGUUGUGUUUUGUUUUUGUAGCAUGCAUGGAUUUGAAGUUUCCCCUGGGAGCUGGCUCUGUUUUUGAUGAGCUCAAGGUCUCUUCCAACUCUGUGAUGUUGGCUCAAAGGCCAGAGCUUCUGAUCCAGGCCCAGCCAUUGCUCAAUAACCUCCUGAAGCACAGGGGCAGCCCAGAGGAGUCCUGACUGCAGCCCAGAGAGAAAAAUGACUUGCUCCAGUCUGUGGCGAAGCUGGUACCUGAAGCCGAGGCCCCUGAAUCCCGUUUAGAUGGGACCUCAAUAUGUUGCUCAGGCUGGUCUCAUACUCCUAGGCUCAAGAGAUCUCCCUUCCUUGGCCUCC